UUUUUUUUUUUUUUUUUUUGGUUUUGCUUAUUUCUAUUUUCUAGUCCAAGAUUUAAUCUAGUUCCAUUCCACUUUGGUGCUGUCAGAUGUUUUAUAUUUCAAACCUCCAUAUUUCUACCGAAAAACAGAAAACAAAAAGAACAGACCAGCGACGAUGGGUGAAGAGGAACUGAGGGCUAAAUUGCAACGGAUCUUCUGUCCCACACGCUGUGCCACUUUUUAUUAUAUUGCUAUUUUUCCUACAUAAACAUCAUAUUUUAAUUUUUUUUUGUUUCCUCAUGAUCCAAUAACUAUUAAUUCAGUAUCAAAAUGCAUAAAAAAUGAGAUUUUUUAUAAAUUUUCUGUUGUAUUUUUUAAUUUUCUAUUACAUAUUACUUUUUUAAAACUAUUGUAUUUAAUUUUUUACUAAACUAAUAGUUAUUAAAUCUUAAGAAAAUAAAAAAAAAAAAAAGUGGCACGGUGCCUCAACUAAAUUGAAAGGCCGUUGCUUCUUUUUCAAGAAAAGAAAAGCCCGAAAAAUAAAAAAAAAAAAAAAAAAGAGAAAAAAGCGCAUCACGGAACGGAUUGGGCGGGCCUCACUGCCGGGAUCUCGACAGAGCAUAACGUCUUAUGUGCCACGUGUCCAGGCUUCCAGAGUAGUAGCAGUAGUACUAUCAAAGGUUGCGUCAGCGCUGACGACGACAUCCAAAUACCCUACUAAUUAAAAUAUAUUUUAGGUAUCAUAUUUUUGUUAAUAUAAAAUUAAUUAGAGAAAGUAAAUAAUUAUUAAUAAAUGAUAAACAAAAUUAAAUAAAAAAGUAUAUAAAUAUAAGAUAAGGUAAUAAUUAUUAGUGUGUGUGUAUAUAUAAUAUGUCAGGGGAAUGUUAAAUGUGUGUUCUAUGAUCUAUCAUCCGGCAGAAAAACCCUAAAAAGAAAAGCAUUGGUCAAUGUUUGACAACUAACCAAUAUAUAUUUCAAACCAUAAACGUGUACCAAUAUGGCAGGUGGCGUCCAUCAUAGCCGGUCGCAUUUCCAUCCGCAGAAUCAGAAGUAUAUACGCGGCGCAAUUCUGCCUGCAAAAUCAGCAGCCCUCGCCAUUAGCAGUUGGUUUUUCUAGGGAAGAAUUUUGGAUUUGAUUUGAUGUUGAGAAACUCACGACCUAAUGUUAGUUUUUAUUAAUCCGAAGUACAAUGAGAUUCCAGAUCACUGUAUUUCUCUUGAUCAAAGAAUAUUAUUCUUAUAUCCCUCUUUCUAUUUGUAUUUCUCUUGAUCAAAGAAUUAGGUAACCAAAAAAAAAAAGGGCAAAUCUGUAGGAGUUGAGCAUUCAUUGCAAUGCAGGUAGCUGAUAUUGAGAUCCAAGGCAGGCUGAUGGGCACGGGAAGAACACCGUCUACAGUCAGUGUUAAGUGCAGGGGCUGAGAUUGAUCUAGGGGCACAAGGACAUUGUUGGCUAAAGGUCCACCCCUGAAUAAAUCAACAAGGACCAGCCCCCGUGUCCCUGGCCAUUGAACAUUUGAAUUCAAUGCAAAAAAGGCAACAUGCUCCUUAGUUUGAAACCCUCUCUCUUCACGAAAAGACUCCAAAUUUCUCAACUGUGGCUGCCGCCUUUGACAGCCUCGUCAAUUAUACAACUGUUAUCGUUAUAAUGAAAAACAACAAUUGUAAAACUAAGAUGGCUGGGAGAGAAUUUGUCACAGCGGAUCAGUAGCCAUGAAAAAGGAACUAAAUCCGUCAUCGAACUCUUCUAAGUUAAAAGGGUUCGAACCCCCACUUGGUUUGAAGAAAAAAAUUCGAAGGACAUGGCUGCUCCUUUCUUGUGUACCGCCUCCUCAUCUAACAUGGGCUCGAACAGAUUUUCUAUGUUUUUAUUUUCCCUUCAUUCUUGCUAACACAUUCUUAGUUCUUGUUUGUACCGUAAGAAAGAUGAGGCGUCAUCCCCGUAAGAAGAGACCUGAAUGCACUCCGCACCGUCUCAAUCAAUUGCAUUUAAGAAUUUCAUCAUUUGAACUUUGUGGGAUGAAAUUUGAGAAUUUGAGAGUUAACAAGUCGACUCAAACAUAUGGGAGAAUGAAACUUGCAAUUCUCCCUCCAAUUAUUCCAAAUCCGUUCAGCGACAAGAGUGGCCAAAGCACCAAAUCGUUUACUAGACCUUGGUAUCAAUGUCAAUUGGAUUCCAACAGUCAAUUGUGCAAAUGCAUAUGAAAUCUAAAAGCCCUCUAAGAAUUGUGACUCAAGGUAGCCUCGCUCUUUCUCUAGACAUCAACUAGAUACCAAAUACCAAGCUUCUGAAGUUACAAUAAAUUGGCUGGAACAUUUUUCAUGUCAUAUAUAUCCCCUACAAAAUUAAUUAGCACCUCCCUUAAAACUAUCCAAAAGAAGCAAAGAUAAUAUCAACAAAACUGCGACAAAAAUCAACAUCAUGUAUUACAGCUAAUAUCUUCCUAGACACAGUAACAAGAAACCAUCACAGUCCAGGGAAGCAUACAACUAAUUAGCAUCAUCAACAAAACAGUGACAAGAAUCGGUAAAAUGAAUUAAAGAGAAUAUCUCCUACAAACAUUGAUCAAGAAAGAAGAUCAUAAAUCAGGGAAGCAUACAAUUGAUACACUACAGCUUUUGGGGGCAAUUUGAGCAUGGUUAUUGAUUUUGAGAAAAGAAAAGGAGAACAACGUUACUGAUGAUUCUCGCCCGUUGUUAUCAUGCGGGUAUUAUAUGAAUUACAAUGCCUGCACUUGUGGCCAA
rnacentral:lncRNA from 1 species